CAAGUCGAGGGGCAGCAUGAACAAUAGCAAUAUUGUUUGAUGGCGACCGGCGCACGGGUGCGUAACACGUAUGCAAUCUGCCUUGUACUGGGGCACAACUUCGAGAAAUCGGAGCUAAUUCCCCAUAACACUGAGAAGUGGCAUCACUAUUCAGUUAAAGCUCAGGCGGUACAAGAUGAGCAUGCGCCCAAUUAGCUAGUUGGUGAGGUAAUGGCUCACCAAGGCUACGAUUGGUAGGGGGUCUGAGAGGAUGAUCCCCCACACUGGUACUGAGACACGGACCAGACUCCUACGGGAGGCAGCAGUGAGGAAUAUUGCGCAAUGGAGGCGACUCUGACGCAGCCAUGCCGCGUGAAGGAUUGAAGGUCCUAUGGAUUGUAAACUUCUUUUAUACGGGAAAAAACCCCUGGUCUUGACCGGGGCUGAUGGUACCGUAAGAAUAAGCACCGGCUAACUCCGUGCCAGCAGCCGCGGUAAUACGGAGGGUGCAAGCGUUAUCCGGAUUUAUUGGGUCUAAAGGGUCCGUAGGCGGAUCGUUAAGUCAGCGGUGAAAGCCCACAGCUCAACUGUGGAAUUGCCGUUGAUACUGGCGAUCCUGAGUGCAAGUGAAGUUGGCGGAAUGUGCGGUGUAGCGGUGAAAUGCUUAGAUAUCGCACAGAACACCUAUUGCGAAGGCAGCUGGCUAAUUUGCAACUGACGCUGAGGGACGAAAGCGUGGGGAUCAAACAGGAUUAGAUACCCUGGUAGUCCACGCCGUAAACGAUGAUCACUAGAUUUUGGCCGCAAGGUCAGAGUCCAAGCGAAAGUGUUUAGUGGUCCACCUGGGGGAGUACGACCGCAAGGUUGAAACUCAAAGGAAUUGACGG
rnacentral:rRNA from 1 species